rnacentral:rRNA from 1 species
AGGAUGAACGCUAGCUACAGGCUUAACACAUGCAAGUCGAGGGGCAGCAUUUUAGUUUGCUUGCAAACUAAAGAUGGCGACCGGCGCACGGGUGAGUAACACGUAUCCAACCUGCCGAUAACUCGGGGAUAGCCUUUCGAAAGAAAGAUUAAUAUCCGAUGGUAUAUUUUCUCCGCAUGGUGAGAAUAUUAAAGAAUUUCGGUUAUCGAUGGGGAUGCGUUCCAUUAGUUUGUUGGCGGGGUAACGGCCCACCAAGACCACGAUGGAUAGGGGUUCUGAGAGGAAGGUCCCCCACAUUGGAACUGAGACACGGUCCAAACUCCUACGGGAGGCAGCAGUGAGGAAUAUUGGUCAAUGGACGAGAGUCUGAACCAGCCAAGUAGCGUGAAGGAUGACUGCCCUAUGGGUUGUAAACUUCUUUUAUAUGGGAAUAAAGUGUUCCACGUGUGGGAUUUUGUAUGUACCAUAUGAAUAAGGAUCGGCUAACUCCGUGCCAGCAGCCGCGGUAAUACGGAGGAUCCGAGCGUUAUCCG